GAUGACUUAGGUCAACACAAAACUUUUUAUUUUUUUUUUGAAUAACAAAUAUAAAUUAGAGGUGGGAUACUAAUGGUAAAAUAAGGUGUCUGCUUUAAAACUCUGGAGUUCCCGAAUCAGAACCCAAACUGUAUUCCCUUACAUUCUGAAAAGUCUCUAAGUUCAGAGGUGUGAAUAUUAUUAAUUAGAUGGCACCAGUUUAGCUCUGUGUAAACUUCAAUCUACUCCCAAGUGCAUGUAAUUCUUCCAAAAAUAUGGGGGAAAAAUACCUUACCUGAAGCUUCUGUGGGAUUUACCCACUUGCUUCUUGUCUUGUUCACCUGACAUUUGGUUUCUGCUUGUUACAGAAAAGAAGAGGAAAGGCUCAACCAAGAGAAAAAGGUCUCUGUUUAUUUAGAAGACACAGACUAACAAUUUUAGAUGGAAGCUGAGAUGAUUUCCAAGAACAAGAACCCUAGUAUUUCUUGAAGUUAAUGGAAACUUUUCUUUGGCUUUUCCAGUUGUGACCCGUUUUCCAACCAGUUCUGCAGCAUAUUAGAUUCUAGACAAGCAACACCCCUCUGGAGCCAGCACAGUGCUCCU
rnacentral:lncRNA from 1 species